rnacentral:tRNA from 1 species
GCUAACUUAGCUUAUUCAAAGCAUGACACUGAAAAUGCCAAGAUAGAAAACAAAAAAAAUCUCGUAAGCA